rnacentral:rRNA from 1 species
AGGAUCAUUAAAGAGUACCGGAGCUCUCGGGUUCCUACUCCCACCCUAUGUUGACUUUAAAUGUUGCUUUGGCGGACCGGCGAUAUUGCCACCGGCCUACGCUGGACAGCGUCCGCCAGAGGAUUUUUAAAUUCCUUUGAAUGUGAAUUCUGAGUCUUUGAAAAUUGAAUCAAAACUUUCAACAACGGAUCUCUUGGUUCUGGCAUCGAUGAAGAACGCAGCGAAAUGCGAUAAGUAAUGUGAAUUGCAGAAUUCAGUGAAUCAUCGAAUCUUUGAACGCACAUUGCGCCCUUUGGUAUUCCGAGGGGCACGCCUGUUCGAGCGUCAUUUAAACCAUCAAGCCCAGCUUGGUCUUGGGCGCGGUCGAGUGACCCGUCUGUAACCCGUUGGCGUGCAGUCCGGCUUCAAGCGUAGCAAAAAUUUCGCUUCAGGAGUCCGCGGCGGUGCCCGCCAGGUAAUGACAUCCCAAAGUUUGACCUCGGAUCAGGUGAGGAUACCCGCUGAACUUAAGCAUAUCA